UAAAAGGAUGCCAAUACCGUGAUUUCACUAACGAAGUAUAGCAAGAACGAUAUAGUAGUAGUUUUAUUAGUUAAGUUAAUUAGCUUAUCGGUGAAUGGUAGAGCCAGUGAGAGCUGAGCGGAAGACUGUUAAGAGACGUCUCGUCAAAACGAAGAGACCAGAGAGAAGCGAAGGUCAUCGAGAGAUAGUCCGGAGCGAAGCGUAGCAAAGCGUAUGAAGCGGUACGGAGCGGAGUAGAAUGCAGAGUGGAGUGUAGAGCGUAAGAUUGCGGUGCAUUCGGCGCGCAGGCUGCACAUUGCAUGCUAAAUAUAAAAGCAGCUUGCGGGCAGAACGGGUCGGAUCGGAAGAAUGCGCGGCGCGGCGUGGCGUGGCGUGGCGCGCCGCGCCGCGCCGUAUGCCUACGCCAUCUUGCAUGGAAGAGUCAUUUGCGUUAGUCCUGCCCACAGAGGGCAGCCUGGCUCCGCCUCCAGUUGCCGGUUGUACAUAAGCAGAACCAUCUUUAUUACCCUCGGGCACUAACCGUAAAGGAAACGAGUCGAGAGAAGCGGCGAACGAGAGAGCGAGCGAGAAGCGAACGAGCGUCGAAGAGGGUCGAAGAGGACCCGAUGGGGCCGACGCGACGCGACGGGCCGAGUCUGCUAUCCUGUACGUACACGUUUGAACGAGCCUAUGCAUAUACGUGUGCACGUUGCCGCGCGAGUACCGAAAGCUAAAGGGAGGGCAGUACGUCUCUCGUGGAGAUCGAGUGGCCGUUUCAGGGAUCGGUCCGAAGAAUUAUGGUCGUUACGUUGUUACGGAGGACUCGUGUUUUUCCACGGAAUUGACGCUGAGCUAUGUCGAGUCGAGUGGAGACAGUACUCGAGACCGCCGCGUCUCGAAUCUCGAACAUGUGAUCGAUGUGCACGAAUAGCGAGCAAAUAUCGAUCGAUGACUCUUUUUGUAUCGGAGACGCGACAUAGCCCGAAUCGGACAGAAAAUUUUCCGCUAACCUUCGACCGCAUUUACGCUUUUCCUCCGAUCGCCGAUCGAUCGUUUUCCUCCAUUUCGCACUUUCGUUUCCAUUUUCGAUAAAACGACAAGUGUUGAAUUACAGAUACGAAAGAUUUAUUGGCGGUGAAAAAUUCCCUGCGUUUUGAUUUUUACGAAUUCAUUAAAUAAAGAUGCGAUGUAAAAUUUAUCCGUUUUCGGAAAAAUAGAAUUUGGACGCGUUUGGUUGUAAAUUGGCGCAUACCCGAUUUUCCAAACGCGAUUUUUUUUCGAAUACGAAGCAUUACAUGAAAAGAUAGUAUUCUUUGCUUUAAACUUAUGUUUACGUGUAAAAUAAUCCGUUGCUGAUUUUCUAAUCCUGUACAAUCACGAAUUAACCAAUUCAUGUUUACUCGACAAAUUUUCGAACUUGAGUUUCUCAAAAACGAUUCGUCAUAUGCAUAAAUCUUGCCGAUUAUAGUAUAAUUGCCGAGAAGCCUCGUAUACUUUGCUCUAAAAGCUAAAAUAAGUUAUUGAAAUAAUAAGUUGAUCGACAGGUAACAAAAUGUCAAUUUUCCAUAUCUAGAUACAAUUAGACUUAAGUAAGUAUUGUGAAGUCUUGACACAUAAUAUUUGUAGAUUUAUCGUAUGAUUUCGAUAAUGUUAACUGACAGUUACUAGAUAUUUUUAGUUUGUCAAUACAAUAUAAAAAACUGGAUGAACCAUGUGUAUGAAAGAUUUAAGGCGUAUCACUAUCUUAAACUAAACGGAAAAUUUAAUAAAUGACAUCGAUAAAAAUUUUAUUUACGUAUCGUUUUAUGAGCGCGAAUGACGUAGGUAUUUGCGUAAAGAAAGAAGAUUAUAUAAGAUUGAUACAAAUUGUAAUAGUAUAAACUUUGUCUCUUAAAAGACAAAAUUUUAUACAUCUAUCUAUCUAUUUUAUACAUUCAAUAUAAAUAAACAGUAUAAAUAAUGUAAAUAUACGUAAAUCAUAAUAUAUAAUAGCAUAUAAAUAGUAUAAAAUAUAACAGCAUGCAUAGUAUAUAAAUGUAAAUAAUAUAAAUUUAAAGGUGAAAUUAAACUACGAUAGAUGUAAAUAUAAGUUUAAUCUUUUAUUCGUUUAAAUUACAUAAAUAUGUAGAAGACAAAUAAUUACAAAAGCAAAUGGUAAAUUUUGUAUGAUAUAAUUAAAAUUUUCAUUACUACCUAAUGUAAAAUACUAAAAGGUCUUAAUCUGUAUGCAUAUACGUAAAAUCUGUAAAAUCGGUAAAAAUCUGAUGAGAAAGUUCAGACAAUAAGAUUAUAUUAAUAGAUAACAAGUAUGUUCUUCUUUCAGAAAAUAUAUACGUAUAAUGUACGUAUAACGACAUCUUUAUUGCUCACGUAGUUCGUAAUAAAGUAGUGCAACAUAUUUGUUACUUUUAAAAAAUCUGAGACGUUUGACUUAUUCCAUCGCAUAACAUUAUUUAAAGAUGUAAAGCAAUUAAAAAGUCUCUAGCUUCAAAAGUAAAAAUUUGAUCAAGUCGUUUAAAAGGAAGUUCAACGGUGAAAUGGAUGAGAAAUGAAUCGAUUGCGAUUGAAAAAGUCUGAAAUUUCGAUGACAUUCGUAAGAAUUCGUUAAAGGGAAAUAGAGGAGUCGAUCGUUCUGUCACAAACGGCAUCAGUGGCGCGACAUCCGCUGAACGUUAUCAAGCAACGCAAAGAGUCCAACCGACAUUUUCUUCUGGCACAUUCAACAUAUCCGGCAUUAUCAGUGCACCGUUAGUUGACAAAGCACGAUCAUUAUUCAAAAGGACGCGAGCCUGGAGGGCGGCGAGCAGUUUUGUAGCGGAAGACAUUGGACAAAUGGGGUUGUUCCGUGGACAGGCAGGUUAUCUCGGUCAGUCGUCGAGUAGCCACCCCACUAAAUCACUCAGUUCUCGCCCUCCAACCCGACGACCUCUGCCGUUGGCACUCUCAAUCUCGAUAAUGUCUGGAAACAUCGACAUGCCACGUUUGUUUGAACUUCUUUAAGAACUGUUUCUUUUUAUUUUGCGUUAGGUAUAUCAAGUUGCGCGUUCGAUAGAAAAUACAUAAACAUCUUAUUUAUUGGAUUUGGAAAAUGUUACGCAUUUAUAAACUAUGAAACUAAAAGUAUAAACUACGAAGAAUAUAAAUAAUAUACGAGUGACUAAUUCGGUACUUGAAAGAGAUUCUUUAUGUUUAAUAAUGAAUUAGUUAAAAAAUAAUAUUGCGACGAUAGAUGAAAUUGUUUUUAAAUUUUAAUUUAAUCUUUAUAUUUUUUACACAAUGAUCCAGAUUUUAUUAUAUCACGCUUUAUUAAAAAAAAAAAAUAAUUAUUUAAACAUAUUUCUCUAGUAAAUCUUCUUCUUUUCGUUAUUGUAUGAUACUGAGAUGCCAUAUGUAUACAGUGGUUCGGAUUAAUACUCGGACACUUAAAACAAAACGACUUUUUAAAAAUUGGACCAAACGAUUUGAGCUUUUUUGAGAAGUUACAAGGAUUAAUUUACUAGAUGACGCGUAAAAAUAUGUUUCUUUGAAAAAGUUGCAAUUGUCGGAAUCGCGAAGAAAAUGAUAAAGGUCGCUUCUUUCAACUUUUUUAUCUGAGCUUGUAAUGAAAAUUUAAACGAUACGUUUUGUAGAUUUAUGGCAGUAAUGUAUAUACACACUGAACAUUUUAGAAAGAUCGGUUGAUGCAAAAACAGGCGACAGGCAUCGAGAGACGUAGGAAUAUUUAGAUUUAGUACUGAAGUCUUGCAGAAAGUCAUGAAAAACUGUUUAUAGCUCGUAACAACGUUGAUCGAUUUCGAUGAAACUUUCAGGAUCUACAUAUGCGACAACAAGUGGAAAUCCAUUAAAACGAAAAAAGACUUUUAUCAUCUUUAUACGCGAGGACAAAGGAACCUGUCAAAUACCUAUCUAUCCUUUCAUAAAAAUGUUGAAAGAUGUUAGUGAUCGAAAAUAAUCGCAUUGCACGCGACUGUAAAUAUCAUAGCAAAUACCGAGUUCGUAUCUAAACUCAAAUAAUCACAUUCGAACACGUCAUCCAUCACCAAAGUUCCCAAACUUGUUCAUCGUAAAACACACGGAUGGUGAACGAGAUUCGAUUCCAUUUGCCGCUCGCCUCAAACCCCUGACCAUUGUUUCUCUGAUUCUCAAAUUUUGCUACUCUCUCUUUACGGUAUAUGUCACGUAAUUUCUUAACAAUGAAAUUAUAGUAAUUAUAGUAGCGACGGCAAACAGAUGUAUCGUAGUUGAUAAACUUUAUAGGAAUAAAAAUAGAAAAAAUAGCAUAAUGUUUAUGUUAUUAACAAUUUCGAAGAUGAAAUUAUUUAUACGAUCAGAAUAUAUAGGAACAGCAGCUCAGUAGUUCGUUAAAUAUUGACAAAGAAAGAAACUCAGUCCCAAUGACCUUGACCUUGACAUAUGCUGUCAAGGAUAUUCUACUGAGUAACUUCUGACUGAGAAGGUUUUCGCCGUCGUUCGUUAUUACUUCACAAGUUAUUGACAAAAAAAAAAAAAAAAAUUGUGAAGGACAAUGUAUGGUAUGUAUGAUAUUUAUGUACGGUAAAAGAAAUACAGCACGCGUUUAUCGUUUACUCCAUUGGUUCGUAAAAAUUUAAUCUAACUCAGUACCAAUGCCACACGUGAGCGAAACAAGCGAGCAAGGAAUUUUUAAGGAAAAUAGAUUUUUAGUCGAAAAUCGAACCCUCUUUGAACGAAAGUUGAAUUUUUGCUCGCACGUGGAAUUGGUAUUGGGUUGAACUAGGUUUUUACGAGUGACCGGAGUAAGUGAGCAACGCGUGCGGUGUUUCUUUCAAAUAAAAACCGGGAGGUAAACGCGACUAUCGCGUCGACUGUGUCCGUGUUCGUAGUCACAUAUAUUUACGUAUAGGUAAAUUGCGAUGUACAUAACAGUACUACUAUAUCUUUCUUAAUAACUUUUUAAAGAAUAGCGACCGACGAGCUUGUUGGAGGUUGCUCGUGAGAGUAUCCUUGAUAAUACAAUAUACAGGAUCCGAUGGAAUAACACGUAAAAGCGGAUAUGACACGAUUCCUUAUACAAGAAUAUGGAAAAAAAUAUAGAAUAAAUUUUUUUGAUUGUCGGCUUAGUUUUCGAGAGAAAUCAAUUUGAAACCCCGCAGCGUCCUCACGCUGUUAUGCCAUAGUUACGCCGUCGAGCGAUAUAUAACAAAUAUCGUGUUUACAAAGAAUGCUCUACGACGCGGAGCGAUCGGUUUUCGUUCAAACACACACCGAUGAGUUACACGAACAGAGAUUACAUCGAUAUGAUCUGGGCUUUGGGAGCCUGUAAGGGUAAUUUAUUAGCUACUGUUCGGUACUACAGAGAGCGAUGUGUUCGGCGUCUAAUCGGCGUGUUCCGGAUAGAAGAACUAUUGUAAGAGUGCAGCGAAGUCUUUUAGAACAUGAAUCUUUCGCACCGUGGCGUCCAGAUUGCGGCCGUAUGCAACAGCGAGCGCUUAUCGAAGACAAUGUUUUGAAAGAUAUUGACAACAGUCGUGCAAUUAGCGUGACAUCACUGUCUCGUAAUUAUGGUGUCAGUGAGAGGACCAUCCGUCGCAUAUUACGCGAUAAUAGAGUGUACCCGCAUCAUGUAACACGAACACGUGCAUUAUCAAACCGUGAUUACGUACCACACGAGUGGUAUUUUCACAUUGGUUAUUUGAACAACAUAAUAGUAAUCCACAAUCUACGUCGCACAUUUUAUGGGCAGAUGAGGCACAAUUCUGCAGAUAUGGUGCUUUUAAUAUCCAUAAUACACAUCUAUGGUCCUCCACAAAUUCUUAUGCAACGCAAGAGACCCGUUUCCAGAAAAGGUAUACCGUUAACGUAUGGGCUGCAAUAGUUGGUAAUUACAUAAUCGGACCGUACAUUUUUCCACAUACUCUAACGGAACAGACUUAUUUAAAUUUUCUUCGUGAGCACUUAUCGACAUUGUUGGACGAUGUGCCGUGUGGUAUACGACAACGACUGAUAUUCCAGCAUAAUAGCGCUAUAUCAUACUUUGCCAAUGAAGCAAGGAGAUUUGUAAACGACGAUUAUCGUUAUUGGAUAAGCCAUGAAGGAACGAUCUACUGGCCUUCGAGGUCCCCGGAUCUAACACCCCUGGAUUUUUAUUUGUUUUAUUUGGCACAUUAAAGAAAAAGCGUAUAGUGUAGAUAUAGAAAGUCGGGACCAGUUAACACGAGUAAUUAAUCACGUAUUUGAAGAAUUGAAAAGACGAGAUACGGUGGUAAGUGUUCACGGGGGAACACAGCGAUACAUCCGACAGUGAGGACGAUUUCAACAAUUUUGUACUUGAUAAAAUAAAAUUGUUUUUAUUUACGAAAUUUCCUUCGUGCUUCUCCCUCAGCUCGGUAACUUUUAAAUGCCGUGUAGAGCGUUCUUUAUAAACAAGAUACGCACUAUACGUUGCUUGUAUCGUGACUUUGCCAUAACAACGACGUAGAGACCAACGCAUUUUCAAAGUCGAUUUUCUCGAAAACUAAGCCGAGAGUCAACAAAUUUUAUUCUACCUCUCUUAUUUUUCCGUAAGGAAUCACAUUGGACCCUGUAUCAAGGUCGAAAUCAUUGGUGUUGGGUGCCCUUUUAUCAACAUUUUAAUUCAUGUAAUUCGUGUAAAUCGGUAAUUUCAUGAAACGCGAAAAAACGAUGCAUAUCAGAUCUCUUUUAUACAUCGUCUGUAAUAAAAAUGUACGUAUCUCUAUAUACGUAUAUUUCUAAUCCUCAUAUGAAAUAUAUAAUAUAGAACAUAUACACAAGUAUACAAUACACAAUAUCGUUUCUCCAACACAUGGUAGCGUUAAGAAAUUAAGACGAUUAAGGUGAAUUGCAAGGUGAAUUUUUUAUUAAAUUCCACAACCAUACCUUUUAAUGUCUUGAUUAUCUUUGUCGGUAUCGUAAAACUCGGUAUCGUAUUUCCAUUAAUGAUCCUUCCAAUGGUUCCAUAAUAACGCGUUCGAGACUUCUUUAUUAAAAUUAAUGGCUUACGUUUAUUGAAGCUUACAGAGAAUGUAAUUUUCCGCGAGAACAGAAAGUCGACCAAGUUCUACCGCUGAAAAAUCUACUUUAUUAGCUGUAUAGUAGAGUACACGGUACACAAAUCAUGUAACUUGGAAAAAACCGUUGGUUAUAAAAUAAAUAAUCGAGAAGAAGUUUAUCAAUCGUUAAGCUUGAGCGUAAACGUGCUGUAAAAUCAGUAUGCCCCUGUUAUCUAUAAUAAAGAAAACGGUUAGUAGAACCUUGUAUUCUUGAAUUUUACGCAUUAUUAAAUAUCUAUCAAAGUAAACGUCACUGAUGUGCACUGCGCAGCUUGGCAAAGCAAUCUAAGAGCACUCUGGUAGAAUACGUCUUUGUAAAAUUAUGCACACUCAUUAGCACGUAAUAAACGGUAAUGUGCUUCGCACAAUCUUUAUACCGUCCACUAUGCUUCUUUCAACAGUUAAUGCAUUUCGCUUUUCCAUCGGUACAUAGCGACAUUAACAUAUGAUUAUAAGUAACCUUUUCGAAGAAGUAUUGCUGAAGUAUUCCGAUAAAAUGAACUGUCUUCGUAAAAGGUGAGUUAAGAAGAUGAAUUGAAUUAUUAUUAUUAUUAUUAUUGUUAUUAUUAUAAAUUGAAUUACGAUAAUCAUCGUAAUAUUUUCUGCUUAUUAUUUACAUUUCGGGAUUUAAGUAUAUCUACAUCAAUUUCUAAUAAAUUUUAUUUAUUGCUAUUUUUAUGUAUAAAAUACCUUUUGACAUACAUCUUUUUAGGCACGUAUAUGAUAUAUUAAUAUAUUAUAUAGUGCAAAUAUUCUCUGUACAAAUAGAAUUACGAUAUUUUUUCAUUAUUCGUUGUCGCAAUUCAAUAUGUAUAAGGUAAAUUUAUUACAUGUCAGGAAUAGCGAUAACUUGUUAAGUUUUUUGUAUUUUAAUUUUAAUACUGAUUACAUACAUAAUUAUCAGUUGAUACUUGUGAGGAAACAGCGAGCAUAGUUUAUAAAUUUUUUAACGAGAAAAACAUUUUUAAUCGUAAUAUUUUAAGUUUUCAAUAUUGGAUGAAAGAGUAUUAAAGAAUUCAGUUAUACCAUUAACAUAGAACGUGCCUCAUAACCGUCGUCAUGGUUUUUCAAGAACGUUUGAUAAUGUGAAAAAAAUGUUUCAAGCGAAAGCUAACUAGUUUUCAGUCGGUUAUAAAUUGCAAUACGAAGAAAUUCCAAAAAAUUUUUUCCGAUGGAAGGUCAAAACACAUUAAAUUUUUUUAUGUAGUGCUGUGUAUUGUUUACUUCACUAUGUUCUAGCUGAUGCUCAGACGAAUAUCUUUGCAACUUCAAGUUCGAUGAAUGAAGCACUUGUGACGAAUUAUAACUGGCGCUUCCAUGAUGAUUUGUGUAUAAUACAUUUGGAUAAUGUAAGUAAGAAUAUAUCUAUUUAUAUCAGUUAUCUCCUGUGACUUGUAAUUUACGAGCUGCCUCAUAAAUGAUUUGCCUCUUAUUUAGUUGCAAUUAUAGUUCAAUGAUCCAACUGACACAGUUAAUGUAAGCAAUGUAUAUAUGGGAUACAAAAGGAAACAGAACACGAACAUGAAAAUAUGUACGUAUUGCGUAUUAAAAGAUUUAUUGUUUUACGAUAAUUUGCCUGUAUUACAUACACAAUGAAUGUUACACUGACGAAUCGCUAAUAGAUAAAAUAUAAAUUCAUCAUGUGGAAAUGUGUUCAAGCGAUUUAUUUAUAAAAAAAUUUAUUAUAGCAAAA